rnacentral:misc_RNA from 1 species
UUAAUUACCCAAGUUUGAG